GGAGACACACGGCGGGUGCUAACGUCCGUCGUGAAGAGGGAAACAACCCAGACCGCCAGCUAAGGUCCCAAAGUCAUGGUUAAGUGGGAAACGAUGUGGGAAGGCACAGACAGCCAGGAUGUUGGCUUAGAAGCAGCCAUCAUUUAAAGAAAGCGUAAUAGCUCACUGGUCGAGUCGGCCUGCGCGGAAGAUGUAACGGGGCUAAACCAUGCACCGAAGCUGCGGCAGCGACACUAUGUGUUGUUGGGUAGGGGAGCGUUCUGUAAGCCUGCGAAGGUGACCUGUGAGGGUUGCUGGAGGUAUCAGAAGUGCGAAUGCUGACAUAAGUAACGAUAAAGCGGGUGAAAAGCCCGCUCGCCGGAAGACCAAGGGUUCCUGUCCAACGUUAAUCGGGGCAGGGUGAGUCGACCCCUAAGGCGAGGCCGAAAGGCGUAGUCGAUGGGAAAC
rnacentral:rRNA from 1 species